GGGGAUGUAGCUCAGUUGGUAGAGUGCUUGCCUGGCAGGCACAAGGCCCUGGGUUCAAUCCCCAGCACCACA
rnacentral:tRNA from 1 species